AGUGGUAUCAACGCAGCGUACGGGCGACCUGCGGCUAUAACCUGAAACAAGUAGAGACCGGAGAUAAAGUAUAUUUGUACUAGUCGACCAAUACGCUUUCUAUUGCAUUACAAGUGAUGUGCAGUUUUCGAUUUCUCGCCCCGAAAAAUAAAAACCUUAGAUCGAGCGGGUAGUAUAUUCUUAAUACUGCUACCACACAACACAACUGCAUAGUUUAACAAUAUAGUUUAACCGCUAUGUUUACAUCGUGCAUUCUUCUAUAUCGUGCAGUUUUCACAAUAGAGGAAGCGCGAUCGAUCUUCCCAGCAGCGGCAGUAAACGACUUUACACACGUUCGAAGGCUCAUAUGCAUGUCAAAUACGAGCACAGUUUGUAUCGUCAAAGAAGGCAACCCCCUCCCGCAUUCUUUGUAGAUGCCGUCGAUCGAUCAAAAUGAAAAUGUAUGGAGCAUAGUGAUGCCGGAGUAUACAAUGCAUGAAAUUUAUGAAGGAAAUAGCUAGCAACAUGACGCACGUCGUGUAAAUACUGAAAUAUUUGAGGCAUGCAGUAUAUGCGGAUUUAACCGUUUUUAGAUCGAAUGUAUCGAUACGACUAAGAAUCGCGGCCGGCGUAAUGAUCGAAAGAGCGCCGUGUUUCAACUCCAUCAAUCGAGAAAAUCUCACGACAUCAGAUGGAGAUAAAGUCCUGCAUUACGAUUAAUGAUAACACAUCGUUUCACGUGAGAUUUUUCAAAGUUACAGAAUUUCUUUUUAUAGCGUGUUUCAAGCUAACAUCAUUACAAGUCACACACAAUCCACAACAUGAUUUAUAUAAUUCUCGCACAUAAAA